rnacentral:rRNA from 2 species
CCUACGGGAGGCAGCAGUGGGGAAUUUUGGACAAUGGGCGAAAGCCUGAUCCAGCCAUGCCGCGUGCAGGAUGAAGGCCUUCGGGUUGUAAACUGCUUUUGUACGGAACGAAAAGCCUCUUUCUAAUAAAGAGGGGUCAUGACGGUACCGUAAGAAUAAGCACCGGCUAACUACGUGCCAGCAGCCGCGGUAAU